AAUGAACGCUGGCGGCAUGCCUAACACAUGCAAGUCGAACGAGACCUUCGGGUCUAGUGGCGCACGGGUGCGUAACGCGUGGGAAUCUACCCUUGGGUUCGGAAUAACAGUUAGAAAUGACUGCUAAUACCGGAUGAUGACGUAAGUCCAAAGAUUUAUCGCCCAGGGAUGAGCCCGCGUAGGAUUAGCUAGUUGGUGUGGUAAAGGCGCACCAAGGCGACGAUCCUUAGCUGGUCUGAGAGGAUGAUCAGCCACACUGGGACUGAGACACGGCCCAGACUCCUACGGGAGGCAGCAGUGGGGAAUAUUGGACAAUGGGCGAAAGCCUGAUCCAGCAAUGCCGCGUGAGUGAUGAAGGCCUUAGGGUUGUAAAGCUCUUUUACCCGGGAUGANAAUGACAGUACCGGGAGAAUAAGCUCCGGCUAACUCCGU
rnacentral:rRNA from 1 species